rnacentral:lncRNA from 1 species
CGCAGGAGGGUGUUCUUUUCCGGAAAAGUAGUCGUACAUCCGACCCGUGAGCCCAGCGGUGUUCUCUCUGUGCUAGGGUUACAUGCCAGGUGUGAGCAAGUAGUGGCUUUUGCCUGAGGUCCUUAGACCGACACGGCGGUUUAGAUUAGGUAUUUUUGGACUACUUGUCCGGUUGACGCAUAUAGUUAUAGUAGCAGUUGUUGCAUGUAUACUUGUAGUUCCUUCUUUACACUUGUCUUGCUACUAUAGUUUUGAUAUCCCUGUAUGUAUGCUUUUCGUUCUAUUUACAGUAGCGGUAGUUGUUCUCUCAUAUCUAUAUCUCAUUCGUCAUUAUCGUUGCUACUGUAUUUCACUUACCCAUAUACUAUUGUUUAUCUUCCUGAUCCGGUGAGUACUCCUCGCCCUCGUCGGCUUGCGGUACCCACUGGGAGGGGAGACAUGUUUACAUGUUCUCACCUCCCCCACUAUUUUUCAGGUAUUGCAGGCGUUGAGUUUUGGGACGAGACGUGAGGUACGUUCGUAGCGGUCGAUAGAGCUUUCGACCCAGAUUAUCGGUUUAGUUUUAUCCCUACUAUUCUGUUGUUAUAGUUUAGAGUAUUUAUAUGGUUCAGUAUUUUUAUUACAUUUGAAUAUGUGGAUUUUCAUGAAUAUAAUAAAAGGAUUUCUGGAUUUUGUAAAAUAAAAGGUUUUCUACCCCUCGUGGUAGCGUUUUUAAAGAAUAAAAGUUUUCGCGUAUGGAACAGUUUUCAAAAGAUUUUUCGUGGACUUUUGUUUAAACAUCGAAUGCAAAACUACGGUGUGAAUGGUGAAUGUAUGAAUGUAUAGCUAUCUGUAUAUUCAUUUAGUUGUGGUUGUAUACUGUUUGUACUUUUGUACUUGUGCGACGCCGUGCAAAUACAGGGGAGACUCUGUCCGUGUGAACAGUGGAUUCCCUGUAUUUGUGGCGGAUCUGGCAUACUCUGGGGUCAGGCUUUAAAAAAAAAAAAAAAAAAAAAUUUAAACGCUUUUCCGCUGUGUUUCAAACUAAAAAGGGGACCCCGGGGCGUGACAACACUGUCGACUCGAGACUCGUCUACCCAGAAGGGAAGCGACCUAUGCACCAAUCUCACCGGAUCAAUCACCGUCCUCAUGAUGAUCCAUUGAUCGGGAGCAUUUAGAAAUUAACCACCAAUGGCACAUGUCUCAAAUUCUCAACACUUGAGAAUAUAUGUCAUCAUCUUAUUAAUUCCUUGGACGAUUCAUAGACACAUACACAACAUGAAUGAAAAUAAAAACCCAAAGAUAUUCAUAAUAUUUAAAAGUCAAAUACAAAUUUAUGUCCUAGAAUGAAUAUAUGUGUCGGCCUGGCUGGCUUCUAAGGCAUACAUCUAACAGUGUGCGAGGCGAACAAGUGCAAGAACUUACACAUUCUAAAGGGGAGCAUAGUGAGAACGAGAGCGAAAACUGUUUGGGUACCAAAAGUUCGUGGAUAUGUAGUCACUCUAGAUAGAGCAGCAAAUGCGGCGACAUUGAGCGGAGGAGACAAGCUCGAGGUUGAUCUGCAUGGUGAGCUCGACACAACAUUUGAAAACUACAAAUCAAACCAAGGUGGAGAUUGCUAGGAUUUGGUUUAGCUUUGUAGUUAAAUUUUAGUUAAAUUAAAAUUAAUAUUUAAAUUUAUUGGAGAAAAUUAUGUAAGAUUUAAAUAUUAAUUAGACUACAAAUUUAAUUAGACAAGGAGAUAAUAGCAUGGUGGCAAUCACCAUGGCGCUUUUCUCAAAUGAGAUGCGGAAGAUGACUCGGCAUGGAGCCAUGAUACGGCACUACUGGUAAAAUCGAAGGAGGCGAAAGUAUUGGCAACAUGAGAUAUGGCGCUUCUCUCAAAAGAGACCGCUAUCCGAGAUGGAGUGCUUCUACUAUCAUGAGAGCAACUAUCAAAAACUUCAGAAUGAUCUAAAGGGGAUGAAGUGGCAAAAGGAAAAAACUGUCAUGGACCAAGAUGAGGAGACAUCAGCAUAUAUCUGAGUGAAUAUGAGAGAGACAGAGGGAGACGAGGAGCAUUUUCAUCAGAUGGCAAAAAAUACGGCUCGAAUCUGUAAAAUUGAAAAAGAUGGCCCACAUUUGCAAAAGCUCAAAACUAGUAAAUUUUUUAUUCAAAUUGGCCGAAAAUUAUUAGUGUGCCCAGAUAUUUAAAAAAAUUGGUUGCCUGUAACACAUCAUAUUUAGUCGGAAUACAAAAUUGGAAUAAUGGUGAGUGGGCAAAAUAUUUAUCAAAAUCGAUACUUUUAAAGUUAUAAUGUAUAAGCACCAUUCUACUAAGCCCUAAAAAUGUAUCAUCGCCACAAAAGAAAAGAAUACAAGCAUUUUAUUAUAACAAUUUAAACAAAAAGAAAUAAUCAUAUAAUCAAUAUUUACUUUACCAAAUUUUACUCUCAUACACUGUUAAAUAACUAUAAAAAAAAAAAAAAAAAAAAAAAAAAAAAAAAAAAAAAAAAAAAAAAAAAAAAAAAAAAAAAAAAAAAAAAAAAAAAAAAAAAAAAAAAAAAAAAAA